GAAGAAAUUUCCGAGCGGUUAAAGGAGACAGAUUGUAAAUCUGUUAAGAUUUUUCUUUUCGUAGGUUCGAAUCCUACUUUCUUUA
rnacentral:tRNA from 1 species